UUCACCAUAACUCAGUCAGAGGAGCUAGCAUCUUCAUCAGUUUCAGAUCCAGAACUGCCACUUGAUUUGUCUUGAGAUUCAGACCUCUCACUUGAGGUGUGGGCAUCUGUUUCAUUGGCUUGACCAACAUUAUCCAUGACUCCUUGCUCCAAGUUAUUAAUCAGGACCUCCAGAGAUUCUUUCCUAGCUUUAGCCACCCUAAUCCCAGCCUCCAAUUCCUUAC
rnacentral:lncRNA from 1 species